UGAUAUGCACACAGCAAAAUCACCAGUGUUAAAUUUUCAGGGAUGGUGUUAAAUACACAGUGUUGAUGCUGUUUUAACACUAUCUGGUAAUAAAAUAACACUGCCAUUGCUUGGCCAGUGUUAUAUCCACAACAGUGUCAGUGUUAAACAAGGGUGUUAUCAGAUUUCACUCUGAGCGGUGUAAAUCAAGCCACGCCUCCACUAAACAUAUCCUGUCAGGGAUUUUACCGCCAUUUUCUUUCACAGGAGGACUGAAGAGAUCAGAUGCUAGUUUGGUGAAAGUUCACACUGAGUGCUUCAAAUCAUUCAGAAGAGAUGCUGUUUUUAGGGCAGUUUAUUAAAGAAGACCUGACAUGGAUGACUUCCAAUGAGAAACGACUGCUAAUACUUAUAUAAAUUCAUUACAGAAGGACCCUACCAGACUAUAUUUGAAUACGGCAUACCCAUGAAUUCUGGAACUGUUAUUCCUUAACCCAGUUUGGAGGAUAAGAGCUUACCAACUAGUUAUAAAUAUGCUGAGGUGAUGUAUUGCAAAAUAGCCAACAUACAACAAUAUGGAUGACCCUCUGUCUGGUCAACAGGAGUUUAAAUAUGGACGGGACAGUGAUGUGGCAGCUCUUCCCUGGCUCAUUCACCUCUUGCCUUCAUUUGUGAAAGGAAGAAAGACUGGAGCGGGUCGAUGUGCAACUGAAGCUACUGAUUGUGCUGUGUGAUGAGCAUCAAUCCAUGCUUUGAGGGGGAUGAAUCAGCACAGCCCUGCCUGCUCUGCGUUGGGAACAGAAGUUGCAUCCAGAAUUUUUGCAUCAUUCUGGACCAAAACGCCAUUCCCUCCAUGAUGAAGACCACUGAUGCAGCCUUCCACUACAUCAUGAGUAAAACAACUACAGAACUAAAUACCAGGUUGGAACGUAUUUAAGAAAAAUGAAACGUCUUUUGAAUUGAAAUGUCUGUUUUGUUAUGGAAAAAUCUUUAGUAUUGUGAAGGAUAAGCAUUUCUGCCUGCCAGUAAGGUAAUUGCAGUGUAUUUUAAUGUUCAAGUUUUGAGUAGGGUGGCAAAUUUUUUUUAAACUCUCAUUUGAUAUAUUAAAGACCUUAUAAUAAGUGGUUUUCAUGUCACUGCGCUGUGGUAUAAGAUAACUUUCAUUAUUCCAUACUGUAUUCUGUAUUCUAAUUGUAGCUGAGGUAUUUAAAUAAGCAGUAUUAAAUGCAAAGUGUUGUGCAAUGUAAAUAUUAAAUGUGAUGUACUUUAAUAAAAAGAGGUUUUGCAAUAUUUCUUGUCAUUUGUCUUUUAUAGAAACAACCCAUUAGCAACAAAAGUGGCUAUUAAUCAGUAUUUUAACACUUAACAUUGUUGAAUUCACAUUACACUGGUGUUGACCUUAAAUUAGGAGUGUUAAUUUUUAACACUGUAUUUCUGUGCCAACACCAGUGUAGUGUGGAAACAACAAUGAAUAGUGUUGAACAAAGUGUAAAAUUUAACAAUAUUGAGUGUUAAAUUAACAUAUAAUGAGUGUUGUUAAAUUAACACUACACUUUUGACUAAAUUAACACAGUGUAGUGUGGACACAUAUACACACUUUUCAAGUGUUAAAUUUGACACCCUGGGUGUUAUUUUAACACCAGUGAUUUUGC